rnacentral:lncRNA from 1 species
CGACCUGGCCCGGACCGCCUUCGGCUACGCGCCGCCGCUCAGCCCGGCGCUGGCCUCCUCCCUGCACGCGGCCAAGGCGGGCUCGGGCCUGGCCCGCUCGCCCUUCUCCAUCGAGAGCAUCAUGGGCGGCGGCCUGAGCCCCGCGGCCGGCAGCAGCUGCGCCUCGCAGUCCGCCGUCGUGCCCUUCCUCGCCAGGUCGCUCGUCACCUCCUCGGUGUCCUCUGCCGCCGCCGCUGCCUUGGGGACCCUGCACCAGGGCACGGCCCUCUCCGGCGGCGAGAACUUUACUGCUAGGAUUUCAAAUUGUUAAUGGGGGAAAGCCUCGCGGAAGCGGCAGGUCUCUCUCAUCUCUUGCAAUCCUCUCCUUUCCAAAGAGCUAAUGCACACGAUGCAGAUUUUUGUUUCCACUGCGGACGAGGUUUCACCUCCCCGGAGGCUGCCAGUUUCUUUGGAGGUCCCUUGCCAGUCUUCCAGGAUGGCAUACCCUUGGGCAGUUUGUGUCAUGCAGUCGCUGGCUCUUCUCCCUCCAGACAGAUGGAUGCCCCUUCUCUUCUAAAGGCUACGGACGCGGCAGAACAGAAUAAUAUAUUCAAGAAUGCAUUCCCCCGUGCCAGGUGCAUGGCAGAGCGCGCUGGGAUCGCCUCCUCGCUACUCCCCACGACGGCCGGCUCGUGCGGCGCUCCCAAGAAAGCUUGCCGAGACCCUGUGUUCCGGGAAGGGGAUGGACCUUCCUUCCCAGUGCCGGCUGUCUUGUGGUGUAGAAACUCCCCACACCUGCCCUUCUUUUCUAUCUCGGCCCUCGGGAUAUUUGCAGGUUAA